UUCCCCUAGUAACUGCGAGUGAAGCGGGAAAAGCUCAAAUUUAAAAUCUGGCGGUUCUGCCGUCCGAGUUGUAGUCUGGAGAAGCGUUUUCCGUGCUGGACCGUGUAAAAGUCUCUUGGAACAGAGCAUCAUAGAGGGUGAGAAUCCCGUCUUUGACACGGACUACCAGUGCUUUGUGAUGCGCUCUCGAAGAGUCGAGUUGUUUG
rnacentral:rRNA from 1 species